rnacentral:rRNA from 1 species
GAUGAACGCUGGCGGCGUGCCUAAUACAUGCAAGUCGAGCGAACAGACGAGGAGCUUGCUCCUCUGACGUUAGCGGCGGACGGGUGAGUAACACGUGGAUAACCUACAUAUAAGACUUGGAUAACUUCGGGAAACCGGAGCUAAUACCGGAUAAUAUAUUGAACCGCAUGGUUCAAUAGUGAAAGACGGUUUUGCUGUCACUUAUAGAUGGAUCCGCGCCGCAUUAGCUAGUUGGUAAGGUAACGGCUUACCAAGGCAACGAUGCGUAGCCGACCUGAGAGGGUGAUCGGCCACACUGGAACUGAGACACGGUCCAGACUCCUACGGGAGGCAGCAGUAGGGAAUCUUCCGCAAUGGGCGAAAGCCUGACGGAGCAACGCCGCGUGAGUGAUGAAGGUCUUCGGAUCGUAAAACUCUGUUAUUAGGGAAGAACAAAUGUGUAAGUAACUAUGCACGUCUUGACGGUACCUAAUCAGAAAGCCACGGCUAACUACGUG